rnacentral:antisense_RNA from 1 species
UUUUCCGCCCUCCAAACGGACGGCUCUGAGGCCAGCCCUCCCCGGCUGUAUACAAGGCCCCCGCGCCCCGCCGGCUCGCUUUUCCCUGCUUCCUUGAAAGCAGCCGGGAGCCGCGCGGCUUACUCACCAUAGUGGCUAGGGAUUAGGAGGCAAAGGCGAUAGGAGCAGACACCGGGUCCCGGUUACCGUCCCCGACAAGCUAAGAGUCGAGAACAUGGACGAGAUGGCCGGAGUCCCAUGGAGUUCUAGUAAUCUUCUUAUGACAAUAAAGCAACCUUAUGCCAUAUGAUAUGCUAAGGAUGGAGGAAGAUAGAGUCUAGGUGCCUGAUAACAACAUGGAGCUGUCAAACAAGCCCUGGAUUGCCUCCCCCUGGACGUCUCAUUAUGGGAGAAAAUGAAGCAAUUUGUUUAAGCCACACUGA